UAUCGUUUAUUUGAUAGUACCUUACUACAUGGAUACCUGUGGUAAUUCUAGAGCUAAUACAUGCUAAAAACCCCGACUUCAGGAAGGGGUGUAUUUAUUAGAUAAAAAACCAACGCCCUUCGGGGCUCCUUGGUGAAUCAUAAUAACUUAACGAAUCGCAUGACCUUGCGCCGGCGAUGGUUCAUUCAAAUUUCUGCCCUAUCAACUUUCGAUGGUAGGAUAGUGGCCUACCAUGGUGGCAACGGGUAACGGGGAAUUAGGGUUCGAUUCCGGAGAGGGAGCCUGAGAAACGGCUACCACA
rnacentral:rRNA from 1 species